AGAAUCAACGCUGGCGGCGUGCCUAACACAUGCAAGUCGAACGAGAAAGUGGAGCAAUCCAUGAGUAAAGUGGCGCACGGGUGAGUAACACGUGACUAACCUACCCUUGAGUGGGGGAUAACCUAGAGAAAUCUGGGCUAAUACCGCAUAACAUCGCAAGAUCAAAGCAGCAAUGCGCUGGAAGAGGGGGUCGCGGCUGAUUAGCUAGUUGGCGGGGUAAUGGCCCACCAAGGCGAAGAUCGGUA
rnacentral:rRNA from 1 species